rnacentral:rRNA from 1 species
AUUGAACGCUGGCGGCAGGCCUAACACAUGCAAGUCGGACGGUAGCACAGAGGAGCUUGCUCCUUGGGUGACGAGUGGCGGACGGGUGAGUAAUGUCUGGGGAUCUGCCCGAUAGAGGGGGAUAACCACUGGAAACGGUGGCUAAUACCGCAUAACGUCGCAAGACCAAAGAGGGGGACCUUCGGGCCUCUCACUAUCGGAUGAACCCAGAUGGGAUUAGCUAGUAGGCGGGGUAAUGGCCCACCUAGGCGACGAUCCCUAGCUGGUCUGAGCGGAUGACCAGCCACACUGGAACUGAGACACGGUCCAGACUCCUACGGGAGGCAGCAGUGGGGAAUAUUGCACAAUGGGCGCAAGCCUGAUGCAGCCAUGCCGCGUGUAUGAAGAAGGCCUUCGGGUUGUAAAGUACUUUCAGCGGGGAGGAAGGCGAUGUGGUUAAUAACCGCGUCGAUUGACGUUACCCGCAGAAGAAGCACCGGCUAACUCCGUGCCAGCCGCCGCCGUAAAAC